rnacentral:lncRNA from 1 species
UUCCAACCUCUGGUCCAAAUCCCAACCUCAGCCUGUCCUGACUGCCAGAAUUUUGAGACAAAGCCCUUAAAGAAAGAAUGGCCCAGAGAAGGCCAGCCAUUGCCCAAGGUCCCCACCUUACUGCUGGCAGAGCCAGGGUGCAAAGCCCCGAGACCUCCUGGGUCCUGAUCUUAUCCCUCUCAACCACAGCCCCCGUGUCAGUCAUCUCCUCU